GGAAGUUCCGCCGAGUGUUUGUGUGUGUGUGUUAGUGCUCUUGGACAGAGCACUGGAUAUAUAUGGAGGUGGACCUGGAGUCCAGGAUGCAGUGCAUCACCAGCUAAAAAUGGAUGCUAUGGUCACUCGAAGAACCAGUUGACCGGAAGUUCCAGCGAAUGUGUGUGUGUGUGUAUUGGCGAUUGUGGACAGAUCACUGGAUAGAUAUGGAGAUUUUGCAUCGAUUACUGGAUUUAUAUAAAUGGAGAUGUCGUCAUUCAAGACUCCAGAGCAUCGAAAACUUCUCCAGCACAUUCUUAGGAAGUAUUACUCCCUUUUAUAAGAAUUAUUUGGAAAAUCUUAAGUAAAUGCGCCGCUAUCCCCAUGAUAACCCAAUUAUUCCCUCCAUAAAGACUUGGGUUUCCCAGAGCCACAAGAGCUCCCUGCUUUCAGGAGCAAAUCUUACCCACGCCUGACAUAAUUAACCGUCGCAAAAUCUCGCCCAAAACUAAGACUCUCCUGCUCCUGGCCCCCCGUCCGCAGUAAUUUAGUGUAAACAAACCACUUGACUAUAUCUCGACGUACCGGCGGAAAAUCCACCGGUUCCCGCCUCACUUUUUAAGCCGGGUCCAUUGUUUGUGCCCCAUGGUUUCCAUUCCAUUCAGGGGAGUAUCCGUUGCUCGAGGAGCGCUCCGGAGCCCUCGGAGCUCCUGGAGCUCCGCAAUCAUUAGCUGUAACAUUAGCGUCUGUCUUGCGGUGCAAACUUUCGGCUACCUGAAACGCUUUUCCACCACCCACCUCCUCCCUGGGGUGGAAAAUCCAGCCCAAAAUGUGCAAGAAGCCCGGACAAAAGUCCUGCGGAAAAGCCGAGAGGACGAGGGAAUCCAAUGGCAAUGGUUAAACCUAUAAAACCACGUAAUCUCCAAGCGAGUUCUUUAAUUAUGCUGCACACAGCCACUGGAACUGGAAUUGGAACUGGAGCAUCAGGUGGCAAGUGGGAAAAUUGUGGGGGGGGAGGGGGAGGUAAAUGGUGGCGGCCAGGACACACAAACAGGCCUGAAGGACGAGAAAUCCUGAGGAGGAGCGAAGAGCAAACAAAAUGCGAGGCGAAAGCCGCUUACAAAACCGCAAAAUGCUACGGACAUCUUUUUGCCAGAUGGGCUGGGUUGGUGGCCCACUGUGGAGCUGGAAAAUGGGGAAAAAUUCAGGGGGAGCAGGAGCGUGGUUUUGCCGGAAAACUGGGGACAAAAAAGGCGAAUCCAAUGGCCACAAAAGGCAGCCAUUUUGAAGUUUGGCGCUGCGGCUUUGGUGUCUCCACAUCUGCCUGGGAUUACAAUGGAGCUGCACUUGUAGAUGAGAUACGAGACGGUGGCAAGCCCCGGGAAAGCGAGGAAAAGCGGCACAGGCCGAGUGCGAGAUGGAGAAGGCGACGGACUGGCGGACCGAUAAACAAACAAACUGCGAUCCGGCGAACACGGCUGCCAAUGCGAAACCAUUUUGCGAAUUUAAUUGCCGUUAACAUGAGGCGAGCUGCAUUUUACCCGAACUUUCGGAGCACGGAAAGAA